UUUGAAGCCAGCCCUUACUGACCCCGAUCCGGCCAGAGCUCUCAAAGUGAAAUCCAAGGAGUGUCUGAGUCGCAGUGCUCCAUGAAUCACGGCUUUUCAUUCUGGUUGUCUUUACCAUAGUUAAGGGAGAGCAGGUUUUGAUAAAUGACGAGGAGGACACAGAGAGGGGAAGCAGAAGAGGGAGCCCAUUAUGGGGAACAGAAAGAUGAGAGAGGAAGGGACAAGGGAGAGAAAAGCACCAAUGCAAGAGGAGCAUCGAUUGAUUACCUCCUGGACCAGUAAUUGCAUGUGCCCAGGCGAGGAACCAAACCCACAAUCUUUUGAUUAUGGGAAGGCACUCCAAGCCAUGCCAACCAGGGCUGAACUACCUGUUUUUGAAACAGGGACUUUCCAGUGUUCCUAGCUUAAUCCCGUAUUUUCAGUUCAGAGAAUAUUCUAUUAAUUUUUACAAAAAUGUUUGGGGCUUGUGUAAUGGUCCAAUUAUGUUCAACUUUAGUAAAAUGUUUCCAGUGUAAUUCAAGUGUGUAUAUUGUUGGUUUAGAGGACAGUAUUCUGUCAACUAAGCUAGGUUUGUUGUUUUGUUCAACUUACGCUAUAUCUGCUUUUGACAUAUAUUAAAAUAUUUUCAAAAAUUUAAUUCCACAACAUUCAGGAAAGAAAUUGCAUUUCAUUCUAUGGUUUCCUAUUCCAGAUUUUUUCCAUGGGCUUUUGACAGCAAUAAUUCUGUGUAUCUUCCUACUUUCCCAGCCACUGAGCAGCAGGAAUAGUGAGCAAGGAAAGCAUGUAUGCGGA